AUUGAACGCUGGCGGCAGGCCUAACACAUGCAAGUCGAACGAGUGGCGGACGGGUGAGUAAUGUCUGGGAAACUGCCUGAUGGAGGGGGAUAACUACUGGAAACGGUAGCUAAUACCGCAUACCAUCAGAUGUGCCCAGAUGGGAUUAGCUUGUAGGUGGGGUAACGGCUUACCAAGGCGACGAUCCCUAGCUGGUCUGAGAGGAUGAUAAGCCACACUGGAACUGAGAAACGGUCCAGACUCCUACGGGAGGCAGCAGUGGGGAAUAUUGGACAAUGGGCGAAAGCCUGAUCCAGCCAUGCCGCGUGUGUGAAGAAGGUCUUCGGAUUGUAAAGCACUUUAAGUUGGGAGGCGUUACCAACAGAAUAAGCACCGGCUAACUCCGGGCCAGCAGCCGCGGUAAUAC
rnacentral:rRNA from 1 species